rnacentral:rRNA from 1 species
UGGAUCCAGACUUUGAUUAUGGCUCAGGAUGAACGCUAGCUACAGGCUUAACACAUGCAAGUCGAGGGGAAACGACAUCGAAAGCUUGCUUCUGAUGGGCGUCGACCGGCGCACGGGUGAGUAACGCGUAUCCAACCUGCCCACCACUUGGGGAUAACCUUGCGAAAGUAAGACUAAUACCCAAUGAUAUCUCUAGAAGACAUCUGAAAGAGAUUAAAGAUUUAUCGGUGAUGGAUGGGGAUGCGUCUGAUUAGCUUGUUGGCGGGGUAACGGCCCACCAAGGCGACGAUCAGUAGGGGUUCUGAGAGGAAGGUCCCCCACAUUGGAACUGAGACACGGUCCAAACUCCUACGGGAGGCAGCAGUGAGGAAUAUUGGUCAAUGGGCGAGAGCCUGAACCAGCCAAGUAGCGUGCAGGAUGACGGCCCUAUGGGUUGUAAACUGCUUUUAUAAGGGAAUAAAGUGAGUCUCGUGAGAUUUUUUGCAUGUACCUUAUGAAUAAGGACCGGCUAAUUCCGUGCCAGCAGCCGCGGUAAUACGGAAGGUCCGGGCGUUAUCUGGAUUUAUUGGGUUUAAAGGGAGCGUAGGCCGGAGAUUAAGCGUGUUGUGAAAUGUAGACGCUCAACGUCUGCACUGCAGCGCGAACUGGUUUCCUUGAGUACGCACAAAGUGGGCGGAAUUCGUGGUGUAGCGGUGAAAUGCUUAGAUAUCACGAGGAACUCCGAUUGCGAAGGCAGCUCACUGGAGCGCAACUGACGCUGAAGCUCGAAAGUGCGGGUAUCGAACAGGAUUAGAUACCCUGGUAGUCCGCACGGUAAACGAUGGAUGCCCGCUGUUGGUCUGAAUAGGUCAGCGGCCAAGCGAAAGCAUUAAGCAUCCCACCUGGGGAGUACGCCGGCAACGGUGCAACUCAAAGGAAUUGACGGA